GCCAUCCAGAGAAAAGCUUCCAUAUUUCCCUUCCAGAAGACCUGCUUGCAGGCCUGGAAUUUUGAGAGUGUGGGGAAAGCAGUCAAGCCCGCGCGGAGCGAUUGUGAGGGGCUCUGCUGGAAUUUGGCAGCGCGGAGGCUUGGAGAGAAGCCCCAUGCUGGCUCCCAUUCAGCCGGCCCGUUUUCCUCGAGCUUUGGAAGUUUCACUCAGCCGUGCACUCAAUGGCUUCACAAAGCUGAUUACAAGCUUCAGCGCAUUCCUGAAGGAGCCAAAAGCGACGCAGGUGCAAACGAGCCGAGGGAGCCCCUUAUCCCGGUGACAGAAUGGGACAAGCUGGGAAAGGCUUGGACCACACAAAUCCAAGGCUCACCAGGCAGCAGAAAGCCUGCCUUGGGAACCGGGGGUCAUUAUCCGCCCUAUUCAGCGGGGCCCGGGGACCCUGGGGGCCCAGCAAGGCUAGCCCGGGCGGGAGCACCGCCGCCAGCGCGCGCGGGCGACAGGGGGGAACCCCGCUGGGCGCUGCGGCCAGGCCGGGGCUCAGGGCACAGGGCUGUGCGUUUGCGCAAAUCUGUAUUCCGGUGGGCCGGUGGCAACCCUAGUGGGGACACGGGAGAAAGAGCACGCCAGGAGGCCACGUGGUGCGUGGACAGUGCGCAACUUCUGUCGGUGUCCAGGCCGCACGGCCGAGUCUUAGCUGGUGUCCCCAGGCCACGAACACCCAGCUCCCGGGUCGCUCUGCGCCCUUUCCCCUCCAGCCAACCUUUUCCAUUGGUCCCUUCCCCUGCCCGCGUGGCAGCGCGGCCCCUCAGAGAACGACCCCGGGAGGGACAGUGACCGCACGCGUGGAGUGGGGACGGCAGGGCACGGGGCCGUUGUCUAAGAGCGUUCGCAUGGCCGAGAACGCUUUCGCUGCGAGUUUGAUUGCGCGGCGGGUUAGAGGGGCAGUUCCCUCCCCAAGUCAUUAACUACGUCUCCUCGCGCUCAGGGACCGGAAACUUGCGGCUGCGGGCGCCCGAAAGAAAAGGGCAGCGCCUCGCCGAGCGCUCGGGGGAAGAGUGACUGCUGCAGCGGGACGCGGGGGCGGGAGGGGCGCAGCUGGGAGCGCGAGCGCAUCAGAGGGGAGCGCGGGGGGGGCGGGGAGAGCUGGACCAGGAGCUGCAGCUCCAGGCCCGGGAAAGGCCACCCUGUCCGGGUCCGGAGCCCCGCGCUGCGUCUAGGAGGGCACAACACGCAGUCCCCGCGGGGGCCGGAGCUUGGAGCCCCCUCGUGCAUGCCCCUCUCCUCGUGCCCUGCCGAGGCCUCGGCCCUGCCUGCCAUGCCCUGGGCCUGGUUGUGCCCGGGGGUCCCCGCGGGCAGGGCGCGGGCGGGCAGGGCGCGCGCGCCGACGCUCUUUUGUCUGAUAACUAAUUUGAGUUAAUGCGAUCUUUAUGUAAAGCUAACAGCGGAUAAUUGUCUAUUUUCUCGCCAACAGUCUCCAUCACAAUCACUUAUCUGGAAACCUGCGGUUGGAUUAAUCGUUAUAUUCCCGAGAUGAGCGUCGCUGCAAUCCGCAGCGAACGCGGGUGGGGACCUGGAGACGCCUCCCGGGCUCUGGCGGGGCCCGUGCGGGCCAGCUCCGCUACCGCCCGAGACGCGGUGUGCCCAGUUGUUGCUGCCCGCGGGCGAGGGCUGUGGGGCACCUUCCCCAGGACUUGCUUGACUUGCUUUUUGCUGGAGUGGGUGGUGCGGGGAGGCGGAGGGAGGAGGAGAGGUGAGGGGAGGAGGGCCUAGUGGGGCUGCGGACCCGGAGCAGCCUGGGUGGAGCGAGGCCUCGGGAGGCCCUGGGCGCAUCGCGGCGGGGCCUGGGGGUCCAGGCGCAGGAGGAGCCGUCGGUGCCGGAACGCAGCUUGUUUCAUUUGGGAGAAACGUUGCCCUCAGGCCCUUGCCUCCCUCCCGUCGUCUCAUUUUUUCUGGCUUCGCCCUUCGUCCCACCCACCCGUUCCCACCUCAGGUCCCUCCCCCAGGACUCCCUCCUUAAGGAUCCAGGUCUCUGAAAAUUAUUGGCAACAGUUACACGCCCCAAGAUUGAAAUUCGCAAGAGAAGAGUCCCAGUUCUGCAGGCUGCUCCAGGGCUAGGGGUAGAGAUGGUGGCAGGUGGUGCGUCAACUCUCUAGGGAAGAGGAACUUGCAUUACAAAGACUUGUCUUUCUGAGCUGAAGUCAAAACAGGGGCGUCAAGCGCGCUCCGUUUGGAGGCGGUGGAGGGGCCGCGCGCCCGCGCUGUCCCAGCCGGAGCUGCCCUGGCUGGUGACUGAAGGUUUAACGUCCGGGCUUCAGGCGCUUCUGCAGCUCGGAAUUGCCGGCCAAGGGGCCUCAGUCGCAACUUUUCAAAAUGGUGUUUCUGGAAAACAACAAAUUCAGACUCAACUGGUGACAGCUUUUGGCUCUAGAGAAUGAAACUGCUUCCCUUUGGCAGUGGAACUCUGAAACUUCGAAGAGUGAGAGAAUACAAAGAAAUAAAAUACCGGAAGAUCACUGGAGUUUUCAGAUUAAGGACGACCCCAAAUGACUCCCAAAAUGAGGCUUUGUAAAUUCUUGUUAAAAAUCUUUAAAUCUCGAAUUUCCCCCUACAACAUCUGAUGAGGGCUUUAAGAGCAAAUAAGUAAAAUCCCACCUCGAGAAUCAACAAACCAAGCUCUAGCCAAGGCUCUCCCCGCGUUUUCUCGUGACCUGGGGAAGGUCCCGCCCCAUCGCUCACCUGGCUCUUGUCACCUCGGUCAUCUUGAAGUGAUCCGUGGACAAUGCUGCUCCCUGCCGCAGAUCCGCUGGUCACUCAGGCAGAACGGGGUAUGCAAAUGCCCUGGAGAGGCCGAGGCCCGAACACUGCGCCCAUUGUCCCCGGCGCUCAAAGCACCGAGCAGCUGCGCAGACUUUCUGGGCUCGGACCCUCGGCCGCCACGCUAAUGUCAUCAUUGCAAAACAUCAGAUUUUGAGAACUAUGCAGUCUGAAUUCAUUAGCAGCCUUCUCGGCGAAGAUUCUUUUCCCCGUGACAAGUUUCAAAGUCCAGACCCCCUCCAACGUUGAUAGGGGUAGGAAGUGGAGGAGGGACCGGGGAAGGGGGGUCUUUUGCAAGUGGGGCCUGGGGGGAUCCCUGCUCUCCUCCUUCUGCUGCGUUCCGCAACUUUAAAAGCCUUCCUUGGGGUUCUGAGCAAGGAUGUCUGACUCGAAUGACCUGAGAUUUGGACAUAUUCCCAUUUUCUCUCAAGUGUAGCUUUAAUGUUGUGAGUUUAAAUUCACCGAAAGAGGCCCAGAUAUCAAGUUGAGUGAAUUUCACAGCAUCAUCUUCUGUUUUAAUCGUUUCUGAAGUCAUAUCCUUUAGGGUGAACUCACAACAAUGCAGGUCAGAGAGACUGCGUGCCCUAAAGCAAACCAGUUAAAACUUCAGGCCAGAUCUUCAAGCUGCAGGAUUGCAAGCAGCUCACAAAUUUCCAGUCCCCACCCUGAGACAAGGAGCGUCUCAGUGGCUUAAGGACCUGCUUGCACUCUCGCUCUCCACACCCUGUCCCCUGCCCAAAUGGCCUCAUUCCUCUAGAACCUGGACGGUGGGGAAGGGUGCUCCUGAUGCCCAGGGGUGGGUGCAGGUGCUCCUGAUGCCCAGGGGUGGGUGCAGGGUGCAGGGUGGGGGACCAGCGAAGGGGAGACCCAAGGGCGCUAGAACCCGGGAGUGCAAACCACCAUUAGAGCCUGAAGGACCCUCAGAUUUGUGGGAGACCACAGGCGCCAGCAGAGGCAGUUUUCCUCCCCUGAACAAUGCUGGUUCUUCUCCGGCCCAGGAUCUCCACUAAUGUGUCUUUCUGCUUCCUCACAGGACUCCAAGCUGCUGUCUCCUCUCUGCCGUAUCUGAGGCUGGAAAAACUUCCUAGGAGAAGGCAAGAGAAAACCACCAGGUCAGAGCCAAGGACUAAACUUUAAGGUGGAAGACGGCAGAGGGGCAGGUUCUCCCCUG
rnacentral:lncRNA from 1 species